UGGGGGAUAUUGCACAAUGGGCGAAAGCCUGAUGCAGCGACGCCGCGUGGGGGAUGAAGGCCUUCGGGUUGUAAACUUCUUUUGCUCUGAACAAGGCAUGCCUUUGGGGUGUGUUGAGUGUAGGGGUUGAUUAGCGCCGGCUAACUACGUGCCAGCAGCCGCGGUAAUACGUAGGGCGCGAGCGUUGUCCGGAAUUAUUGGGCGUAAAGAGCUUGUAGGUGGCUGGUUGCGUCUGUCGUGAAAGCUCAUGGCUUAACUGUGGGUUUGCGGUGGGUACGGGCUGGCUUGAGUGCAGUAGGGGAGGCUGGAAUUCCUGGUGUAGCGGUGGAAUGCGCAGAUAUCAGGAGGAAUACCGGUGGCGAAGGCGGGUCUCUGGGCUGUUACUGACGCUGAGGAGCGAAAGCGUGGGGAGCGAACAGG
rnacentral:rRNA from 1 species